UCUGCGCCGGCGCGGGGGUAGAAAAUGCGGGGUCUCGCGGGAGCCAGGCCCGGGCAGCCGUCAGAGUGCCCGGGGUUUACAGAAUUAUAGUGUGCUUUCCACUAGCGCAUCACAAGGGACAAGCCUUCUUUUAACAGAGGAAGCCUGGGCCGCCGUCGCUAUGGCCUCCCCCACUUCCUGGCCACUUGGUCGGGUCUGACAGAGACGAGAGCCGGGUCGCCAAGCGGGCCGAAGGAAGGGUAGCGACUUCCCCCUGAGGUGUGGGGUGGAACUGCACGAGGGGCCCCAGCCCGGCAGCCCGCAGUGUGCGCCUACAUGAGGAAAACUUGGGAGAUGAGUUGAAAAACUUGAGUUUCUGAGGUAGUACAAAUAAUUUAUGUCAUGAUAAAAUUGUCUCCUACAUUGAUGAGGAGGAGUGUUUCUGUGAAGCUUUGACCACGCGGUGGAAAAUGAAAUGAAGUCACUGCAUUUUCCAGUUGGCUGCAAUACCAAAAAGAAUGGGGACUCUUGCACCCGCACAGAGAAUGGUUCUUUGUAAAGUCUUGAAGCUUACUUUAUAUAGUAUUGUAGCAACUAUUCUGGAGUGGGAGGGGAGGUGGAUAUCUCCCUGGAACGCAUCUCAAAAGACACUGAUCAGUGAUGGUCUAAAACGUGUUAUAAGCAAGCUGACAGGAAGAUAGAGUCUCAAACGUAGAGUGACUUAACACACCUGUGUAGACUGGCAGCCAUGGCGCCAGCAUUACCUUGGUCUUUCUCAGGUACUCCAUAAGGCUUUCUCUGCCAAUCUCUCUCCAGGAUUGAGAGUCCCUGGAGAACCGGUAGGAAGCCUCUAAAAUGCUCCCCAUAAU